rnacentral:misc_RNA from 1 species
AAGUCGUAACAAGGUUUCCGUAGGUGAACCUGCGGAAGGAUCAUUAGUAAACAAGAGAGCAAGCAUACCUGCGAUAGCAGGUGUGCCCUCCUGCGUCAGCAGUGUACCCGUCAGGGUACAUGACCCUGUAGCAACCAUUGUGCCCGAGGGAACGUGAGUGAGCGAGUGAGAGUGAAUGGAAUGAGUGAGAGCGAGUGAAAGGGAGCGUGAGAGAGUGAGCAUGUUUGCUUGCUAGAUCACCCACCUUGACACUGUACUAUACUCUUCUCACAUUCAAACCUCACCCACUUGUUACGUUAACUCGGGACUAUUUACACCCUUACUGAUUUGAUUGAUACUCGAGUAUUUAUAUUAAAUGAAAAACAACUUUUAACAAUGGAUCUCUUGGCUCUU